rnacentral:rRNA from 1 species
CCUACGGGUGGCAGCAGUCGAGAAUCAUUCACAAUGGGGGAAACCCUGAUGGUGCGACGCCGCGUGGGGGAAUGAAGGUCUUCGGAUUGUAAACCCCUGUCAUGUGGGAGCAAAUUAAAAAGAUAGUACCACAAGAGGAAGAGACGGCUAACUCUGUGCCAGCAGCCGCGGUAAUACAGAGGUCUCAAGCGUUGUUCGGAAUCACUGGGCGUAAAGGGUGCGUAGGCUGUUUCGUAAGUCGUGUGUGAAAGGCGCGGGCUCAACCCGCGGACGGCACAUGAUACUGCGAGACUAGAGUAAUGGAGGGGGAACCGGAAUUCUCGGUGUAGCAGGGAAAUGCGUAGAUAUCGAGAGGAACACUCGUGGCGAAGGCGGGUUCCUGGACAUUAACUGACGCUGAGGCACGAAGGCCAGGGGAGCGAAAGGGAUUAGAUACCCCAGUAGUC